rnacentral:rRNA from 1 species
AACGAACGCUGGCGGCAGGCUUAACACAUGCAAGUCGAGCGCCCCGCAAGGGGAGCGGCAGACGGGUGAGUAACGCGUGGGAAUCUACCCAUCUCUACGGAAUAACGCAUGGAAACGUGUGCUAAUACCGUAUACGUCCUUCGGGAGAAAGAUUUAUCGGAGAUGGAUGAGCCCGCGUUGGAUUAGCUAGUUGGUGGGGGAAAGGCCUACCAAGGCGACGAUCCAUAGCUGGUCUGAGAGGAUGAUCAGCCACACUGGGACUGAGACACGGCCCAGACUCCUACGGGGGGCAGCAGUGGGGAAUAUUGGACGAUGGGCGCAAGCCUGAUCCAGCCAUGCCGCGUGAGUGAUGGAGGCCCUAGGGUUGUAAAGCUCUUUCACCGGUGUAGAUAAUGACGGUAACCGGAGAAGAAGCCCCGGCUAACUUCGUGCCAGCCGCCGCAGUAAUAC